rnacentral:lncRNA from 10 species
UGCAGCCCAGCAGCUCUCAGCCUCAUCUGACCCAGCCCCUAUUCAAGAUGGAGACGCCCUGGUUCAGACGCCUCUGACAGAUGCUCCAAGAUGAUGUGAAGCAGAUACAAGUGCCCUUCUUGUCUCAUGGACUCAAUCAGGAGAUAUGAAGAUUGACAACUGAUUGGCAAAAGUGAAGUCACUGUGUGACCUGUCCUGAAAAGAUGGUGGCUGCAUCUAGAAACAGUGACGUGUUUGGGGAACAAUGGAGUAGAGUCAGAGACGCACCUACUAAGACAUUUUGGCUGCUGGGCACCUGAACAUGAGCAAUGUGAAGCUUCCGAUCUGAGAAACCCUCUCUCCGGGUACCCUGAUGGAAUCCACAGAGUGAUCCAAACCCCCCUGAAUUCCUGGUGUACUGGCAGUGUUAGCCAAGGCAAACAAACAAACGCGCAAAGCCAGCCCGGGCCUUCUGUAAUUGCC